UACAGAGGUCUCAAGCGUUGUUCGGAUUCAUUGGGCGUAAAGGGUGCGUAGGCGGCGCGGUAAGUCGGGUGUGAAAUCUCGGGGCUUAACUCCGAAACUGCAUUCGAUACUGCCGUGCUUGAGGACUGGAGAGGAGACUGGAAUUUCCGGUGUAGCGGUGAAAUGCGUAGAUAUCGGAAAGAACACCAGUGGCGAAGGCGGCCUUCUGGACCAAUACUGACGCGUGAGGUGGCGAAAGCGUGGGGAGCAAACAGG
rnacentral:rRNA from 1 species